AGAGUUUGAUCCUGGCUCAGGAUGAACGCUGGCGGCGUGCUUAACACAUGCAAGUCGAACGGUGAAGGAGAGCUUGCUCUUUGGAUCAGUGGCGAACGGGUGAGUAACACGUGAGCAAUCUGCCCUUGACUCUGGGAUAACAGUUGGAAACAGCUGCUAAUACCGGAUACGAGACGUGACCGCAUGGUCAACGUUUGGAAAGAACUUCGGUCAAGGAUGAGCUCACGGCCUAUCAGCUAGUUGGUGAGGUAACGGCCCACCAAGGCGACGACGGGUAGCCGGCCUGAGAGGGUGACCGGCCACACUGGGACUGAGACACGGCCCAGACUCCUACGGGAGGCAGCAGUGGGGAAUAUUGCACAAUGGGCGCAAGCCUGAUGCAGCAACGCCGCGUGAGGGACGACGGCCUUCGGGUUGUAAACCUCUUUUAGCAAGGAAGAAGCGAAAGUGACGGUACUUGCAGAAAAAGCGCCGGCUAACUACGUGCCAGCAGCCGCGGUAAUACGUAGGGCGCAAGCGUUAUCCGGAAUUAUUGGGCGUAAAGAGCUCGUAGGCGGUUUGUCGCGUCUGCUGUGAAAUCCCGAGGC
rnacentral:rRNA from 1 species